AAUGAACGCUGGCGGCAUGCCUUACACAUGCAAGUCGAACGGUAACGGGCCUUCGGGUGCCGACGAGUGGCGAACGGGUGAGUAAUGUAUCGGAACGUACCUUUCAGUGGGGGAUAACGUAGCGAAAGUUACGCUAAUACCGCAUAUUCUGUGAGCAGGAAAGCAGGGGAUCGCAAGACCUUGCGCUGAUUGAGCGGCCGAUAUCAGAUUAGCUAGUUGGUGAGGUAAAGGCUCACCAAGGCGACGAUCUGUAGCGGGUCUGAGAGGAUGAUCCGCCACACUGGAACUGAGACACGGUCCAGACUCCUACGGGAGGCAGCAGUGGGGAAUUUUGGACAAUGGGGGCAACCCUGAUCCAGCCAUGCCGCGUGAGUGAAGAAGGCCUUCGGGUUGUAAAGCUCUUUCGGCCGGGAAGAAAUCGUAUGGGUUAAUACCCUGUGCGGAUGACGGUACCGGCAUAAGAAGCACCGGCUAACUACGUGCCAGCCGCCGCUGUAAUAC
rnacentral:rRNA from 1 species